rnacentral:rRNA from 1 species
CCUACGGGUGGCAGCAGUGAGGAAUAUUGGUCAAUGGGCGUAAGCCUGAACCAGCCAAGUCGCGUGCGGGAUGAAGGUUCUAUGGAUCGUAAACCUCUUUUAUAAGGGAAUAAAGUGCGGGACGUGUCCGGUUGUGUACGUACCUUAUGAAUAAGGAUCGGCUAACUCCGGUCCAGGAGCCGCGGUAAUACGGAGGAUACGAGGGUUGUCCGGAUUUAAUGGGUUUAAAGGGUUCGUAGGGUGUUUUGUAAGUGAGCGGGGAAAGUUUGUGGCUCAACCAUAAAAUUGCCGUGGAUACUGGAAGACUUGAGUGUGUUUGAGGUAGGCGGAAUGCGUGGUGUAGCGGUGAAAUGCAUAGAUAUCACGCAGAACACCGAUUGCGAAGGCAGCUUACUAGGCCAUAACUGACACUGAGGGACGAAAGCGUGGGGAUCAAACAGGAUUAGAUACCCGUGUAGUC